rnacentral:rRNA from 1 species
GAUGAACGCUAGCGGCAGGCCUAACACAUGCAAGUCGAGGGGCAGCAUAAAAUAAACUUGUUUAUUUGGUGGCGACCGGCGCACGGGUGCGUAACGCGUAUGCAACCUACCUUACACAGGGGGAUAGCCCGGAGAAAUUCGGAUUAAUACCCCAUAGCACUAUCGGAUGGCAUCAUUUGAUAUUUAAAGCUUUGGCGGUGUAGGAUGGGCAUGCGUCCUAUUAGCUAGUUGGUGAGGUAACGGCUCACCAAGGCUACGAUAGGUAGGGGGCCGGAGAGGGUGGUCUCCCAAUCUGGUACUGACGCACGGACCAAGCGCCUACGGGAGGCAGCAGUGAGGAAGUUUGGUCAAUGGGCGCAAGCCUGAAACAGCCAUGCCGCGUGAAGGAUGAAGGUUGUAUGGAUUGUAAACUUCUUUUAUUUGGGAAUAAACCCCUUUACGUGUAGAGGGCUGAAGGUAACAAAUGAAUAAGCACCGGCUAACUCCGUGCCAGCCGCCGCCGUAAAAC